ACCCCUACGGGAGGCAGCAGUGGGGGAUAUUGCACAAUGGGGGAAACCCUGAUGCAGCGACGCCGCGUGGGUGAAGAAGCGCCUCGGCGCGUAAAGCCCUGUCAGCAGGGAAGAAAAUGACGGUACCUGAAGAAGAAGCCCCGGCUAACUACGUGCCAGCAGCCGCGGUAAUACGUAGGGGGCAAGCGUUAUCCGGAUUUACUGGGUGUAAAGGGGGCGCAGACGGCGAUGCAAGCCAGGAGUGAAAGCCCGGGGCCCAACCCCGGGACUGCUCUUGGAACUGGGGGCCUUGAGUGCGACGGAGG
rnacentral:rRNA from 1 species